UAAUAAGGUUUCUAUGGGCAUUAAUUUUGUAUGAUUUGGAUUUGUAAUGACUUUGUAAGAGCUUUACAAAGUCAAGAUUGUUUUAGAUGACUUAGAUGUUUGUAAAAUAAAAUAGGGUUGACAUUUUGGAUAAUUUCAAGAGUUUUAUAAUUGAUCUAUAGCUGAAAUUUUGUAUAUCAAUGGUUAUAGUUGUGCUUAAUAUUUGUUGAGAAUUUUAGAUUGAUCUAAUAGGUGAAUUGAGGGUUAUUGAGGUUUAAGUAGGUUAGGAUCUCAAAAAGUAGAAUUUAAGAUUUAGUGAGGAUUUCUAAGAUUUCUUAUAAUCUAUCAAUUGGAUUAGAAAGAAAGUUAUGUGUGUAGGUAGUAGACUUAUUUUCUUAUACAUGUGAAAAUUUUGAGAUCAAUUAAAAGUUGUAAAAGAGAGAAGUCAGUAUUAGAAGAUUAGUAUAUAAGUUGAAGAAGGAGGCUGGCCAACAUCUGAGCAAAUUUUAGGAUUUUUCUUCUAUUUGAUGAGUGCAAUUGUCUUAAAAUUUAUUAUACUUAUUUUUAACUAAGAGAUUAAGAGGUAUGUAAAAUUUUAAAUAAAAUAAAUAGUUUAAUCAAAAGAUAUUGAGGUUCUAAACUACCUUAGGAUUUGGUUUAGGAUUUAGAAUUGAUUAGGGUUUGAUUUAGGGUUUAAGAUUUGGUUAGGAUUUAGUUUAGGAUUUAAGAUUUUAUUAGGAUUUGAUUUAAAAUUUAGAAUUUAAUUAUGAUAUAAUUUAAGAUUUAGGAUUUGAUUAGAGUUUGAUUUAAAAUUUAAGAUUUGUCUAAGAUUUGAUUGAAGUCUAUUAGGAUUUCAACUAGGAUUAAAUUAGAAUUUAAUUGAGAUUUAUUUAAGAUAUAUUUUAAUUAUUUUAAUAUUUUUUUAGGACUUCUUAAGGUUUCUUUU
rnacentral:lncRNA from 1 species